rnacentral:rRNA from 1 species
CAAUAGCGUAUAUUAAAGUUGUUGCAGUUAAAAAGCUCGUAGUUGGACCUUGGACCUGGACAGGCGGUCCGCCUCACGGCGUGUACUGUCUUGCUGGGUCUUUCCUCUUGGUGGUCUGUUGUUUCGGCAGCAGGGAACCAGGACUUUUACUUUGAAAAAAUUAGAGUGUUCAAAGCAGGCUCGACGCCGGAAUAUAUUAGCAUGGAAUAAUAAAAUAGGACGUGCGGUUCUAUUUUGUUGGUUUUUGGAAUCGCCGUAAUGAUUAAUAGGGACAGUCGGGGGCAUUAGUACUCACAUGCUAGAGGUGAAAUUCUUGGAUUUUGUGAAGACUAACUUCUGCGAAAGCAUUUGCCAAGGAUGUUUUCAUUAA